rnacentral:rRNA from 1 species
AUUGAACGCUGGCGGCAGGCUUUACACAUGCAAGUCGAGCGGAGCGGCGGACGGGUGCGGAAGGCCUAGGAAUCUGCCUGGUAGUGGUAGAUAACGACCGGUAACGGGAGCAAAUACCGCAUCCUAUCAGUUGAGCCUCGGUCGGAUGAGCUAGUGGGGGUGGUAAAGGCCUACCAAGGCGACGAUCCGUAACUGGUCUGAGAGGAUGAGCAGUCACACUUGAAGUGAGACACGGUCCAGACUCCUACGGUAGGCAGCAGUGGGGAAUAUUGGACAAUGGGCGAAAGCCUGAUCCAGCCAUUCCGCGUGUAUGAAGAAGGUCUUCGGGUUGUAAAGCACUUUAAGUUGGGAGGCGUUACCUACAGAAUAAGCACCGGCUAACUUCGUGCCAGCCGCCGCGGUAAUAC